GACGAACGCUGGCGGCGUGCUUAACACAUGCAAGUCGAACGGAAAGGCCCUUCUUUUGUGGGGUGCUCGAGUGGCGAACGGGUGAGUAACACGUGAGUAACCUGCCCUUGACUUUGGGAUAACUUCAGGAAACUGGGGCUAAUACCUGAUAGGAGCUCCUGCUGCAUGGUGUGGGUUGGAAAGUUUCGGCGGUUGGGGAUGGACUCGCGGCUUAUCAGCUUGUUGGUGGGGUAGUGGCUUACCAAGGCUUUGACGGGUAGCCGGCCUGAGAGGGUGACCGGCCACAUUGGGACUGAGAUACGGCCCAGACUCCUACGGGAGGCAGCAGUGGGGAAUAUUGCACAAUGGGCGGAAGCCUGAUGCAGCAACGCCGCGUGCGGGAUGACGGCCUUCGGGUUGUAAACCGCUUUCGCCUGUGACGAAGCGUGAGUGACGGUAAUGGGUAAAGAAGCACCGGCUAACUACGUG
rnacentral:rRNA from 1 species